rfam:Schistosoma mattheei strain Denwood, Zambia genome assembly, scaffold: SMTD_scaffold0009950
CUUCAGCUGACGAGUCCAAAAUGGGACGAAACACUCGUUCAGGAU